AAGCCCCGGUAAACGGCGGUGGUAACUAUAACCAUCCUAAGGUAGCGAAAUUCCUUGUCGGGUAAGUUCCGACCUGCACGAAUGGCGUAAUGAUGGCCAGGCUGUCUCCACCCGAGACUCAGUGAAAUUGAACUCGCUGUGAAGAUGCAGUGUACCCGCGGCAAGACGGAAAGACCCCGUGAACCUUUACUAUAGCUUGACACUGAACAUUGAGCCUUGAUGUGUAGGAUAGGUGGGAGGCUUUGAAGUGUGGACGCCAGUCUGCAUGGAGCCGGCCUUGAAAUACCACCCUUUAAUGUUUGAUGUUCUAACGUUGGCCCCUGAUCGGGGUUGCGGACAGUGUCUGGUGGGUAGUUUGACUGGGGCGGUCUCCUCCUAAAGAGUAACGGAGGAGCACGAAGGUUGGCUAAUCCUGGUCGGACAUCAGGAGGUUAGUGCAAUGGCAUAAGCCAGCUUGACUGCGAGCGUGACGGCGCGAGCAGGUGCGAAAGCAGGUCAUAGUGAUCCGGUGGUUCUGAAUGGAAGGGCCAUCGCUCAACGGAUAAAAGGUACUCCGGGGAUAACAGGCUGAUACCGCCCAAGAGUUCAUAUCGACGGCGGUGUUUGGCACCUCGAUGUCGGCUCAUCACAUCCUGGGGCUGAAGUAGGUCCCAAGGGUAUGGCUGUUCGCCAUUUAAAGUGGUACGCGAGCUGGGUUUAGAACGUCGUGAGACAGUUCGGUCCCUAUCUGCCGUGGGCGCUGGAGAACUGAGGGGGGCUGCUCCUAGUACGAGAGGACCGGAGUGGACGCAUCACUGGUGUUCGGGUUGUCAUGCCAAUGGCACUGCCCGGUAGCUAAAUGCGGAAGAGAUAAGUGCUGAAAGCAUCUAAGCACGAAACUUGCCCCGAGAUGAGUUCUCCCUGAGACUUAGAGUCUCCUGAAGGAACGUUGAAGACGACGACGUUGAUAGGCCGGGUGUGUAAGCGCAGCGAUGCGUUGAGCUAACCGGUACUAAUGAACCGUGAGGCUUAACCUU
rnacentral:rRNA from 1 species